rnacentral:rRNA from 1 species
AAUCAACGCUGGCGGCGUGCCUAACACAUGCAAGUCGAGCGAGAAAGUGUAGCAAUACAUGAGUACAGCGGCGCACGGGUGAGUAACACGUGGGUAAUCUGCCCUAGAGUGGGGAAUAACACCGGGAAACCGGUGCUAAUACCGCAUACGAUCACGAUGUCUGCGGACGUUGUGAUGAAAGGAGCAAUUCGCUCUUGGAGGAGCCCGCGGCUGAUUAGCUAGUUGGUAAGGUAAUGGCUUACCAAGGCUACGAUCAGUAUCCGGUCUGAGAGGACGGUCGGACACACUGGAACUGAGACACGGUCCAGACUCCUACGGGUGGCAG